UGGGGAAUUUUGGACAAUGGGCGAAAGCCUGAUCCAGCAAUGCCGCGUGUGUGAAGAAGGCCUUCGGGUUGUAAAGCACUUUUGUCCGGAAAGAAAUCCUUGGCUCUAAUACAGUCGGGGGAUGACGGUACCGGAAGAAUAAGCACCGGCUAACUACGUGCCAGCAGCCGCGGUAAUACGUAGGGUGCAAGCGUUAAUCGGAAUUACUGGGCGUAAAGCGUGCGCAGGCGGUUUGCUAAGACCGAUGUGAAAUCCCCGGGCUCAACCUGGGAACUGCAUUGGUGACUGGCAGGCUAGAGUAUGGCAGAGGGGGGUAGAAUUCCACGUGUAGCAGUGAAAUGCGUAGAGAUGUGGAGGAAUACCGAUGGCGAAGGCAGCCCCCUGGGCCAAUACUGACGCUCAUGCACGAAAGCGUGGGGAGCAAACAGGAUUAGAUACCCUGGUAGUCCGCGCCCUAAACGAUGUCAACUAGUUGUUGGGGAUUCAUUUCCUUAGUAACGUAGCUAACGCGUGAAGUUGACCGCCUGGGGAGUACGGUCGCAAGAUUAAAACUCAAAUGAAUUGACGGGGUCAUAGCUGUUUCCU
rnacentral:rRNA from 1 species